AAGGGUAUAGCUCAGUGGUAGAGCAUGUGCUUGGCAUGUACAAGGUCCUGGGUUCGAUCCCCAGUACCUCCC
rnacentral:tRNA from 1 species